GAACUAGCCGCUACCUAUUUUUCAUACCACAUGAGCUGGGAAGCUGGCACCUGUCUCAAUCUCUCCUCUUAUGUAAUCAUCGUUGUUGUACCCCAUCCCUACGGCUGGUUAAUAAAGCUACAGACUUCAA